rnacentral:rRNA from 1 species
CAAUAGCGUAUAUUAAAGUUGUUGCAGUUAAAAAGCUCGUAGUUGGAUUUCUGGUAGAAGGAACGGGCGCACCUGCGUGAUGCCCGCGUCUUCUGCCAUCCUUCUGUUAACCGUUCUUGACAUUGAUUUGUCGGUUCGGGGCUCAGAUAUUUUACCUUGAGAAAAUUAGAGUGUUUCAGGCAGGCUUAUGCCCGGAUACAUUAGCAUGGAAUAAUGGAACAGGACUUCGCCUCUUCUGUUGGUUUGAGGGGUUGAAGUAAUGAUUAAUAGGGAUAGUUGGGGGCGAUUAGUACUUAACUGUCAGAGGUGAAAUUCUCGGAUUUGUUAAAGACUAACUUAUGCGAAAGCAUUUGCCAAGGAUGUUUUCAUUAAUCAAGAACGAAAGUUAGGGGAGUCAAAGAUGAUCAGAUACCAU